UACGAAGGGGGCUAGCGUUGCUCGGAAUUACUGGGCGUAAAGCGCACGUAGGCGGCUUUCUAAGUCGGGGGUGAAAUCCUGGAGCUCAACUCCAGAACUGCCUUCGAUACUGGAGAGCUUGAGUCCGGGAGAGGUGAGUGGAACUGCGAGUGUAGAGGUGAAAUUCGUAGAUAUUCGCAAGAACACCAGUGGCGAAGGCGGCUCACUGGCCCGGAACUGACGCUGAGACGCGAAAGCUAGGGGAGCAAACAGG
rnacentral:rRNA from 1 species